CUACCGCCACAUGCCCGCCCAUGUUUGCCAUGGUUUCGUGUUCUGUUCACUCUGCGUGGACUGCGACAAAUGUCGUCUUGACCUUGGAUUACCAAAGGGAAACCUGUACAGCUAUUGGCUGCGGAGGGCGUGGAUGCCACAUUAGUCUACGGUGUCAACGGUUAACAAACAGAGGUGCAAUAUUCCAAAAACAUCGAAACACGAGAUACGCAGGGAAUACGACGAGCCAUUGGUCCACGCCGUCAAAGAUACACUGCGCUGCUAAGUGUUUGGAAUCGUGGGUUUGCACCGGAUUUAAUUUUGUCGAUCGUCCGUCAACUUUGCCUGAUGUCCCUAUUUGUGAGACAGCGAUGGACUUUCCGCUAGCAAGCCAGAAUUUGGUUGUGUCAGAGGAGUAUGCAUUCCAUGAAAAAAUAUAAAGCGGACAAUACACGUCGAAAUGUACGUUAGAAUUAUCACGUCAAGAUUGUC